rnacentral:piRNA from 1 species
CAGAAUGACCCGUUUGUUGGAAAUGC